rnacentral:rRNA from 1 species
GUACACUCCUACGGGAGGCAGCAGUGGGGAAUUUUGAACAAUGGGCGAAAGCCUGAUCCAGCAAUGCCGCGUGUGUGAAGAAGGCCUUCGGGUUGUAAAGCACUUUUGUCCGGAAAGAAAUCCUUGGCUCUAAUACAGUCGGGGGAUGACGGUACCGGAAGAAUAAGCACCGGCUAACUACGUGCCAGCAGCCGCGGUAAUACGUAGGGUGCGAGCGUUAAUCGGAAUUACUGGGCGUAAAGCGUGCGCAGGCGGUUUGCUAAGACCGAUGUGAAAUCCCCGGGCUCAACCUGGGAACUGCAUUGGUGACUGGCAGGCUAGAGUAUGGCAGAGGGGGGUAGAAUUCCACGUGUAGCAGUGAAAUGCGUAGAGAUGUGGAGGAAUACCGAUGGCGAAGGCAGCCCCCUGGGCCAAUACUGACGCUCAUGCACGAAAGCGUGGGGAGCAAACAGGAUUAGAAACCCUAGUAGUCC